GAUUGCGGGUGAUGAUUACCAAAAACCAAUAUCUUAGGACACCUUCAGAGCGGGUACAACCCGCCGUGAGACGAACUUGGUUACCCAUAACUGAACCCACUC
rnacentral:snoRNA from 1 species